CCCCACUAUGCCCAGCCGUAAACUUUUACUUACACCUAAAUCGCCUGGGAACUACGAGCAAAGCUUAAAACCCAAAGGACUUGACGGUACCCCACAUCCACCUAGAGGAGCCUGUCCUGUAAUCGAUAACCCCCGUUCAACCUCACCCCUCUUAGCCAAUCAGCCUGUAUACCUCCGUCCCCAGCUUACCCCGUGAGUGCAACCUAGUAAGCCCAAUGUCCAUACGCCAAUACGUCAGGUCAAGGUGCAGCAAAUGGAGGGGGAAGUGAUGGGCUACACUCUCUAAUAUAGAAAACACGAAAAACUAUUUAUGAAACCUAGUCAGAAGGCGGAUUUAGAAGUAAAAAGAAAAUAGCAUGUUCUUUUUAACCUGGCACUGGGGUGUGUACACACCGCCCG
rnacentral:rRNA from 1 species